rnacentral:rRNA from 1 species
UACGUAGGGGGCAAGCGUUGUCCGGAUUUAUUGGGCGUAAAGAGCGUGUAGGCGGUCCGGUAAGUCCGCUGUGAAAGUCGAGGGCUCAACCUCGAAUGCCGGUGGAUACUGUCGGGCUUGAGUACGGGAGAGGCGAGUGGAAUUCCUGGUGUAGCGGUGAAAUGCGCAGAUAUCAGGAGGAACACCAAUGCGAAGGCAGCUCGCUGGGACGUUACUGACGCUGAGACGCGAAAGCGUGGGGAGCAAACAGG